GAGGAAUAUUGGUCAAUGGGCGAGAGCCUGAACCAGCCAAGUAGCGUGCAGGAUGACGGCCCUAUGGGUUGUAAACUGCUUUUGUAUGGGGAUAAAGUCAGUCACGUGUGAUUGUUUGCAGGUACCAUACGAAUAAGGACCGGCUAAUUCCGUGCCAGCAGCCGCGGUAAUACGGAAGGUCCGGGCGUUAUCCGGAUUUAUUGGGUUUAAAGGGAGCGUAGGCUGGAGAUUAAGUGUGUUGUGAAAUGUAGACGCUCAACGUCUGACUUGCAGCGCAUACUGGUUUCCUUGAGUACGCACAACGUUGGCGGAAUUCGUCGUGUAGCGGUGAAAUGCUUAGAUAUGACGAAGAACUCCGAUUGCGAAGGCAGCUGACGGGAGCGCAACUGACGCUGAAGCUCGAAGGUGCGGGUAUCGAACAGGAUUAGAUACCCUGGUAGUCCGCACAGUAAACGAUGGAUGCUCGCUGUUGGCCUUUGUGGUCAGUGGCUUAGCGAAAGCGUUAAGCAUCCCACCUGGGGAGUACGCCGGCAACGGUG
rnacentral:rRNA from 1 species